ACCUGGGAUUCAAGCCGCCAGGCAAAGUGCCCUAGCAGGGACUCUGGCUUAGUGAGAGUCUCUGUUUCCCCCUUUUCUUUCUUUCCACCCAAUAAAACCGGGUCUUACUCAUCAUUCAAAUUGUCUGCGAGCCUGAAUUUUUGUGGCCGUGGGACAAAGAACCCCGUCUUUAACGGAACUAAGGAAAAGCCCUGCAACAAUUUUGGCGCGCAACGUGGGGACUUGAGAAGCGGUUGAACUCUUUUGUGUCAACUAAAAGAACAUAUGAACAUAGCAGGGCUGUCAAGAUAAGGCCACAAGCUUGCCGAGUUGGGGACCUUUGAAAUACAAAGUGACAAGGUUCAACCCAACAACCUGACUUAAUGAAAGUGAAAAACAUUAGCCAGUGAAAAUAUAGAAGGAAAAACAUCAUUGUGAUGGUAACAGAGCUCUGGCCACAGGUGAGGCAUGUGCCAGUUUUUUCAUAACUAUCAAACAGUGCUACCUCCUGUAAACAAACAUUGAAGGUUUUAGCCCUGGUCAAAGUUCCCAAAGAUCUCUCAAUGCCUCUGAUAAGUGUGACUUUAACUCAAGGAAACACUGAUCUCUCUUCAUGUCUCAAAAAUCUGGAUACAGAGCUGUGGGUCACAUUUGGAGAUGCUCAAUUUUGUUCUCCACUACUGAAUUCUCGAGUGAACUAUUCUGUACAAAUCUACUUUAAUUAUGUAUUAAUUUCAAUAUUAUUACAUGCAGUACACAACUGCUACUCAUUAAAAAUUAAUCUAGA
rnacentral:lncRNA from 1 species